rnacentral:lncRNA from 1 species
UUUACUAUUAUAAAGUAAAAUUUCAAGUUUAAUCCCUUAACUGGAAAAUUUAAAAUGUUUUUUUGUUGUUCGUUACUUAUAAUUCCUAUCAAACUGUCGAUUUAUUCCGUUUUAAAAUGGGCAUUAAAUCCCAUAAAAAUUACUCAAAUCUGGCAUAACUUUUAGAAUUUAAUGGCGGCUGCAUUUUUCUUCUAGAAUCGGGACUUCUGUGGAAUAUAAUUAAUGAAAAUCGUUGUUUUUAUUGAGAGAGAGAGAGAGAGAGAGAGAGAGAGCGAUUUUUCGCGCAUUAAAGAAAAAAUUCAAUGCGACUCACUGCUAACGUUAUGCAUCUACAUCGUUACACUUAAAAGUUGUUGUGCCACGUUGCAGCUUUUUGUAAGUAGUUUCCUAUAUUCUAUAAACUGCCAAAGAUUAUAUUCGAUACUUAAAACUAUUUUCAAGCGAUAAUAUUCGUUUCUGUCAAUUUUAAAACGGUAAAAAUCACUUAAUGAACGAAUAAUCUAAAUUAUUCAGAAAUCCAUUAACGGAAAUGAAUUUCUGUCCUGUCCCGUCGAAAAAUUAAUGACGAUUAAAAAAAUUAUGCAAAUAAGUAAUUUAAAGCGUAAACAUUCUCUCUACAAAUCUUUGAAAGAAAAAAAUACCCACUUUGAAUAUUUGUAAAAAGAAAAAAAAAGAGGUCAAGGCGGACUUGUUGCAUUGAGGUGUCAACUUACUGCUCAACAUAAAGUGCAUCACAAGCAGAGCACAAUACACAUAAAUGGUUGUUCUUAUCGGUUUUUAAAAUGUUACAAGGUAUUUCUCUUAUAGAAGUUGUAACUGGAAAUAGUUUAUCUGUACAUUCUGCUACUUUACCGAAUUCACACAUUUCUACGAGAAUUGCUGCCGACACUAUAAUUAAAAAAAAAAAAAAAAAUGAAUUAGAGAGAAACGAAACGAGCGAAGAGGGAAAAAGUAAACUAAAUACUAAAAACGAACUCAAAAAAAGAAAAAAAAAAAAAACACAAAUUCUAAAGUCCGUUUUUGCAUCAAUCUAAAAUAUUAAAAUCGUUGCAAGAUUGAAAGACUGUUCUAAUCCUUUUUAAUCUCACAUUUAUGUUAGACUUAAAGAGGGGUAAAAAGAAUAAUAAUUUAUGAUAUAAGGCCUGUUCUCUAUCUGUUGUAGAUUAUGUUCUCCAGCCUACACAAUUACUACCAGAUGUUAAAUGAACUCGAACCCGGAUCUUUAAUUAAUCAUUUCUUUCUACAUUUGCCAUUUUUUGACGAGUUAUAAGUAACGAUAAUCUUUUUUUUUUUUUUCUUCUUCUUCUUCUUCUUAAAGAGCGUAACAUAUUUUCCGUGCAAAAGUUUUCUAAUUCGCAAAUUGAAUGUUUGACGUAAGCUCUUUAUCCUAGUUUUUAAAAUAACUUUUAAUAACGACGCAAGAAUAAAUAAUAAUAAUAAUAAUUCUUCAAACAAAUCACGUUUAUACAAAUUAUACCCAUUUUUAGCGCAUUAAAUAAAAAAUUAAAUGCGACACACUGCUAACUUUAUGCAUAUA